rnacentral:misc_RNA from 1 species
GAUGAAGAACGCAGCGAAAUGCGAUACUUGGUGUGAAUUGCAGAAUCCCGUGAACCAUCGAGUCUUUGAACGCAAGUUGCGCCCGAAGCCAUUAGGCCGAGGGCACGCCUGUCUGGGCGUCACACGUCGUUGCCCCCCCAUCUACUCCUUCGGGAUUGCGGGGGGCGGAUGAUGGCCUCCCGUGCGCCUCGUCGCGCGGUUGGCAUAAAUGCCAAGUCCUCGGCGACGCACGCCACGACAAUCGGUGGUUGCGAAACCUCGGUUGCCCGUCGUGUGCGGUCGUCGCGCAUCGAGGGCUCGAAAAAAUUGCCGGGCUCCGGCUCGGCUUUCAACGCGACCCCAGGUCAGGCGGGGUUACCCGCUGAAUUUAAGCAUAUCAAUAAGCGAGA